GUCUGGGUGGUGUAGUUGGUUAUCACGCUAGUCUCACACUAGAAGUCCCCGGUUCAAACCCAGGCUCAGACA